GAUGAACGCUAGCGGCAGGCCUAAUACAUGCAAGUCGAGGGAGAAUGUUGGAUUCGUCUGACAUGAAACCGGCGCACGGGUGCGUAACACGUAUGCAACCUACCUUUAACUGGGGUAUAGCUCAGAGAAAUCUGAAUUAAUCCCCCAUAAGACUACGACAUGGCAUCAUGAUGUAGUUAAAGCUCCGGCGGUUAAGGAUGGGCAUGCGGUACAUUAGCUAGUUGGUGAGGUAAUGGCUCACCAAGGCUACGAUGUAUAGGGGGUCUGAGAGGAGGAGCCCCCACACUGGUACUGAGACACGGACCAGACUCCUACGGGAGGCAGCAGUAGGGAAUAUUGGUCAAUGGACGCAAGUCUGAACCAGCCAUGCCGCGUGAAGGAUGAAGGCCCUAUGGGUCGUAAACUUCUUUUAUUAGGGAAGAAAAAACGGGAUGCGUCCUGUACUGACGGUACUUAAUGAAUAAGGAUCGGCUAACUUCGUGCCAGCAGCCGCCGUAA
rnacentral:rRNA from 1 species